rnacentral:lncRNA from 1 species
ACGAGAGGGACUAGAUUGUUAUACAUCAGUAACCAUGACCUAAGCCAUAGAAAGGAUUCGGGUUUCUGACUCGUGACCUAGAAAGAUCCCACUCGAAGACUAAGUAUAAGGAGAAUCAUAAGAGGACAGAGAGCCAUGUUCGCAAACAUAGCUUGCAAUGAGAGCUUGUGGACACAGCUCACUAAAGGGGUCUACGAGCACAAAUCACAGAUCAAGCUCGCAGGAAUCUAAGGGAGACCACGGCCUCAGCUCACAC